UGUGCCAGUUGUUCUGCCAAGGGCAUGGCUGGUUGGCUACGUUCGGGAGGGAUAACCGCUGAAAGCAUCUAAGCGGGAAGCCUGCUUCGAGAUGAGGACUCCCACCCACUUGAUGGGGUAAGGCUCCCAGUAGACGACUGGGUUGAUAGGCCGGAUCUGGAAGCCAGGUAACUGGUGGAGGUGACCGGUACUAAUAGGCCGAGGGCUUGUCCUCAGUUG
rnacentral:rRNA from 1 species